rnacentral:rRNA from 1 species
CGGGUGAGUAACACGUGAGUGACCUGCCUUUUAGACUGGAACAACUUACCGAAAGGUGAGCUAAUGCCGGAUGAGUUAUAUAAGUGCAUGUUUAUAUAGGAAAAGUUGGGGAGACCUGACGCUGAAAGAUGGACUCGCGUCCCAUUAGCUAGUUGGUAGGGUAAUGGCCUACCAAGGCGACGAUGGGUAGCCGGACUGAGAGGUUGAACGGCCACAUUGGGACUGAGACACGGCCCAGACUCCUACGGAAGGCAGCAG